rnacentral:rRNA from 1 species
UUAACAAAACUAACAGCUCUUUCAAGAUUAUGUGGUAGGUGGUGCAUGGCCGUUCUUAGUUCGUGAAGUGAUUCGUUCGCCCAAUCGCAUUUCCAAACAACUAACAACUCAGAAUGCUGGGCAAUAGGACGUUUAAAGUGGCUCCUUACACCUUACAAAGGAAUGGCUGAUGAGAAACAACUCGAUCCGCUCAGCGUUCUAUUGGAAUGCAACGGACGUGAUUGCAAGCUUUUGUUUUGAGUUGCGGUUUUACUGAAAGACUCUACAAUCCGCAAACUUCAAUGAUCUGAAGUAGAAAACCUACAUGCUACAGUGAGAUAUUGUGGAUAAACUUAAGCGACCGCUCCAACAUUGUGUUUUUUUAAAACUGAUGAAGGUUGCGGCAAUAACAGGUCUGUGAUGCCCUUCGAUGUCCUGGGCUGCACACGUGCUACAAUGGCUAGCGCAGUGAGCAUAUUUCAACCGAAACAUCGGUUGGCUGUUCUGAUUGACCCCUUCUGGGUCUCUCUGUAACACUACCGAUGAUCCCUCCUCUGAAAAGAGAGGGUAAGCCGUUCGAAAUUCUGGUAACGAUUCCCCGUAGUUAAGCAA